GCGCGAUAGACAUCCAACAAUUUUAAUGGUGAAUCCCCCUGUGCGGCGGGGCAUUACUGGCUAAGUCCAAGGGUGAGCAGCAUGCGAGACUUUGUUGCCAGUCAAAGUCUCACCGGGAAGCACCCGGCACUAUUAUUUAUGAGGUUAUUUUAAGGCCAGCUUGUCAGAGCUGGCUUUUUUUUGCC
rnacentral:sRNA from 1 species